UGCUAUGUUGAUCGGUAUUAUAUUCGGUGGCCUGUUAGGUGGUCUGAAUGGGUUGAUUAUUACAAAAGGUGGUGCUGCACCAUUCAUCGCUUC
rnacentral:tRNA from 1 species